rnacentral:rRNA from 1 species
UCGGCAAUGGGGGAAACCCUGACCGAGCAACGCCGCGUGAAUGAUGACGGCCUUCGGGUUGUAAAAUUCUGUGGCGAGGAACGAAUGGCAAGGAGAGGAAAUGCUCUUUGUUUGACGGUACCUCGCUAGAAAGCCACGGCUAACUACGUGCCAGCAGCCGCGGUAAUACGUAGGUGGCAAGCGUUAUCCGGAAUUAUUGGGCGUAAAGAGUGAGCAGGCGGUUUUUUAAGUCUGAAGUCAAAUCCUGUGGCUCAACCACAGUUCGCUUUGGAAACUGAAGAACUAGAGUGCGGGAGAGGUAAGCGGAAUUCCAUAUGUAGCGGUGAAAUGCACAGAUAUAUGGAGGAACACCGGUGGCGAAGGCGGCUUACCAGCCCGAUACUGACGCUCAGUCACGAAAGCGUGGGGAGCAAAUAGGCUUAGAUACCCUAGUAGUCCACGCCGUAAACGUUGAGGACCUGAUGCCGGAGUAUUUCGGUGUCGUAGCUAACGCGUUAAGUCCUCCGCCUGGGUACUACGUUCGCAAGAAUAAAACUUAAAGGAAUUGACGGGGGCCCGCACAAGCAGUGGAGCAUGUGGUUUAAUUCGUCGCUACGCGAAAAACCUUACCAGGGUUUGACAUCCCGCUAAAAGUCUUGGAAACAAGAUUAUAGUUAUAGCGGUGAAAGGUGGUGCAUGGUUGUCGUCAGCUCGUGUCGUGAGAUGUUGGGUUAAGUCCCCUAACGAGCGCAACCCUUGUCUCUAUUUGCCAUCAUUAAGUUGGGAACUAUAGAGAGACUGCCGGUGCAAACCGGAGGAAGAUGGGGAUGACGUCAAAUCAUCAUGCCCCUUAUGCCCUGGGCCACACACGUGCUACAAUGGCCGGUACAGAGAGAAGCAAUCCCGUGAGGAGGAGCAAAUCUCACAAAGCCGGUCUCAGUUCGGAUUGGAGUCUGCAACUCGACUCCAUGAAGCUGGAAUUGCUAGUAAUCGCAGAUCAGCAUUGCUGCGGUGAAUACGUUCCCGGGCCUUGUACACACUGCCCGUCACACCAUGAGAGUCGGCAAUACUCGAAGUCGUUAUCUUAACCCGCAAGGGAGGGAGGCGCCUAAGGUAGGGCUGAUGAUUGGGGUUAAGUCGUAACAAGGUAUCCCUACGGGAACGUGGGGAUG